rnacentral:rRNA from 1 species
GAUGAACGCUGGUGGCGUGCCUAAUACAUGCAAGUCGAGCGAACAUAUUCGGAGCUUGCUCCUCUGACGUUAGCUGCGGACGGGUUAGUAACACGUGUAUAACCUACCUAUAUGACUGGGAUAACUUCGAUACACCGGAGCUAAUACCUGAUAAUAUAUUGAACCGCAUGGUUCAUUAGUGAAAGACGGUUUUGCUGUCACUUAUAGAUGGAUCCUCGCCGCAUUAGCUAGUUGGUAAGGUAACGGCUUACCAAGGCAACGAUGCGUAGCCGACCUGAGAGGGUGAUCGGCCACACGAGAAGAGAGACAGGGUCGAGACUCCGAAGGGAAGCAGCAGUAGAGAAUCUUCCGCAAUGGGCGAAAGCGUGACAGAGCAAAGCGGCGGAAGGGAUGAAGGACUACGGAUGGUAAAACGCUGUUAUUAGGGAAGAAGAAAUGUGUAAGUAACAAUGAAGGUAUUGACGGUACCUAAGCAGAAAGCCACGGCUAACUACGUG